UAUCUGUUUAACAUUACAACUGCUAAUAAAGCUGGGAAUGGAUCUACUAGUAACAUAACAGUUGGAUUUCAAUCAAGUUCAAAUUUCCAGAGCACUUAUCAAGAACAUUUGACAUACCACAUAAACAAUAGUUGGAGUUUACAUUACUUACUAUCAGUUAGUUUAAUAUCCUCACCCCACACACACACACUACAGUCAAACCUGUCUAUUCCGGACACACAGGUUUCACUGUAACACCUGUUUUUUAAUUACUGUAGGCUUAUCAGUUGUGUACUGGAGUGUCACUUCUUAAUAUUACAGUAACUGGUUGUACUGUUAGUAAUUCCAGUACUUGUUAUUCAUCAACAAAUGUAUCCACUAAUAGUAGUUCUUAUAAUACCACUUUACUUUUCAUUCUUAUAAAUCUUCCAUCAAGAGAGAUACUUGACACCAGUGUUAUCAUAUACUAUCGAAAUAGAGCAGUGUUUGGAAGCAACCCUAUAAGAAUUAGUACUUUUGAUCUUCAGAACGUAACAGUGGUUAAUGUUACAUUUAACAAAGUUUGUCUUCAAUUUCAGUUUGUCAAUGGCAGUACAACUAAUGUUAUUUAUAUUCACAUCACUAAUUAUGAAGAGUCAGUUCAACCAGUGU